UUUUCUUUUACCUCAUACAUUGUGAAUAUGGACAUAGCGAAAAAGGUGAGUCAGAAUCUUCAUUCAUUUAUUCAACAAACACAUACUAAGUGUCUACUCUGAAUCAUACAUCGGUGUAGGAACCAGGAUGCCGGGAGGGCUCUUCAGGUCUUCUGGUCCAGUGGGUCUCACAUUAAAAUCAUCCAGGGAGCUCUUAAAAGCAGUGAUACCCCGUCCCACUCAGCAGAGAUCCUGGUGAAAUUGGUUUGGGAUCGGGCUCGCACACCCGUAGGUUGGAAGAGUUCCCCAGGUGAUGCUAAUGUGUAGCUGGGCUUGAGAACCACUGCAAUCGGGGCUGACCAGUGAAGUGAUUUGCUUCUGAUAACCUGAAAACCCGAAUCCACGUGGGUCUGAUCCUCCACUCUGGGGUUCUUCCGACAAACUCAGAGUUCUCCGUGGCUUUGGCAUCUGUCUGAAUCGAAAGCAAAUUCUUGGAGGAGAUCAAGUCUACUCCUCCUUAAUCCAAAGGGAAUCCAAUUCGCUUCAAAUACAGUGCCAAAAGAACUUCUGUUUUUCGUUUUGUUUUGUUUGGUGAGGAAGAUGGGCCUGAGCUAACGUCUGUGCCAGUCUUUCUGUAUUUUGUAUGUGGGAUGCUGCCACAGCAUGGCUUGAUGAGUGCUGUGUAGGUCCUGCCCAGGAUCCGGGCCUGCGAACCCCGGGCUCCCGAGGCAAAGCACGCAAACUUAACCACUACACCACCAGGCCGGCCCCAAGCACUUCUGGUUUUGAAUUGCCUCUCUCUCAAACUGUUUAUGUGUUUCAUGCCUGGGAACUGCAUUCUUCAGCCAAGUUGGAGAAAUCCCUAUAAAAAUAGUCCCCUUUCCUGAGUGCCUGGUGUAGUUAAGGCACUUGACAUGCAGUUUCAUUUAAUCCCCAGAACCCUCUUACGAGGUGAGUUUUGUUGACACCAGUUUAUAGAUGAGCAAACUGACAUGCAAAGAGGCUAAGGAUUCUAACCUGUGUCUAAGCUGAUACAGCUGGGAUUCCAACCCAAGCAUUCAUGUGCUUCCCCUCACCACCUGUGCCUCCCGCGCUGCCCAGAGCACGGGGCAGCUGGCAGACAGUGGCGUUGUGCCCUGGAUCCACAGAGGAAAGAUGACUCUGUGAAGGAUUGAUAUUCUCCAACGCAGAGCGGAUCGAUGCACGUAAUUCUUGCAGAUUUCCUUUGGCUUUGCGCCGUGAGGGAGGGAGACAGUUGGAAACGUCGUGAUUUUGAGAGGAAGCCGGUGUUUCCUGAAGCCUUUGUUUUGGGUGCGCCUUAACCGCACCUGCGUUUCUUGCAGCUUCUUACAAAGAAACUUCUUUUUUUUUUUUUGAGAGUCAAAAUAGUUGAACUGAAGUUAUUUUCAACCGGAGGGAAAUGUUUGAAAGCUCAGCCUUUGUGAGCCCAAAGAGCAUUGUUUCAUCGACAGUGAUUGAAACAGUCAUUUCCUUUGGGAAGUCUUUGCCAUUGAAGCAAACUUUGAUUUUGGAAGCAAAAGUUUUGGCUUUAAAGAUGGGAUCCAAGUGUUACACCUUCUUCUCAUAGCUCCCCGGCCAUUUAUCGGAGUGCUGUGAUAGUAAGGUUGUUUGCAUUUGAACAGAAAGACCUGCUCUGGCCAGCUGGGCUGAUGCUAAGAGGCAGUAUAGUUCAGUGGUGAGGAGCACAUCCCUUACAGCUGGGCUGCCUGGGUUUGCCUCACUCUGCCACUUGCAAGCUGGAAUCUUCGGCAAAUUACAUAACUGUCCUGAACUUCAGUUUCUGCCUUUAUAAAAUGGGGAUGAAGAUAGUAUUUAUUUCCUAUGAUUUUUUAUAAUUAUUAAUUAACAUAAUAAAA
rnacentral:lncRNA from 1 species